GGCAAGCUGAUGUAAUAUGUAAAUAUGUAAACAACAGGUUCAUCGCGUUGUUAAUGGGUUUUCCUGUAUCGAUUUUAAAAGUUCAGGGCAAACUAUUUUCUAGGGCGACUCAGUCACCUGUUAGUGAGUGGAUGACGAUAUUCGCGGUCGGUCUGUUUCACUGGCCAUCCUGAGAGCACUCAGAAGUCUGGCUCUGCGUGUGUGUGUCCGCGUGCACGCCUCACUGAGCAGGGCACACUGCGCUUUGUUGGCCGUGGAGGCGGAGCUCGAGCUCGGCACUGAGGUGAAGCUCCGCAUGACGGGAGUCGCAUUGUGCGCCGAGAUUUGGAGGAAAAGGCAGAAAAACGAAAACUCGACACCGAGGAAGCGGAAGAAGGCGAGGAAACGGACUAUACUGGAAGGAGGGAGAAGUUCCUCGCUGUAUUUCAUUAAGCGCAUUUGUGUGUGUGUGUGUGUGUGUGUGUGUGUGUAAAAACAAAUGGUUUGAAACUAGUAGGGAAGGAAGGCUGCGACAACAACGACCGCUCUAUUGUUAUGGCGCUGCUCUGCGGUUGGAUGGCCACGGUGUGGACAGCGCAUGCGCGAACAUCAUGUUUCCCGCCGGCCGGCAGGUGCGGGACGCGGUGCAUUGUUGUAAGAUUUCCCGCCAAUAUUGCACUCGUCCCGGCCUCCCGGAGCGCGAGGACACCGCGAGCCGGUCUGAACUAGUACUGGCCGGAUUCAUUAACGAUGACUGUGGGCGCGUGAGCCACUGCAGAGAAGCGGCGAAAAUACUGACUGAAGUUGUGCUGCUGGGAUACGAGUUAUGGCAGGAAGCUUGGGGUAAACUUGGGGUAAAAAAAAAGAGUAAAAAGAAAAGAUUGGGGACAACGUUCUUAAAAAUACACUACAUUUUUUAUAAAUUAAAAAAUAUUAAUAAUAAAAAAAAACAUAGGUUCCAUAGAAGGGUUAGAAAACACCUGUAAAUGACAGAUUCUGACACCCCUACAUUAGGCCAUACCAUUUAGUUACUCAGAAAAAAUGUAUAAACAAUGUUUUUUGUAUGUUAAAUAGACAGCUAGUCUUGUGGUAGUCUCAGUCUUGCAAUUUGAAUGAACUUUUAUAUAAUUAUGCCUUACAGUUAUAUGUGUUAGAGUCCCAUGGAUGUCACUGUAGCCUGUAAUCUGCCCUGUGAGUAACUGUCACAAUGAAUGUAAAGAGUCCUGGUAUUGUUUCAUAUCUGAGGCUAUUCACUUUUAAUUAUAUGAAUAUUUAAUGGUGGUCUAUUAAACCUGCACAUUUUUCAUUUUACAAUACAGACGGAUAUUACA